UGCACUGUUUUGGAUAUAACUAGCUGGGAUGUUUGUUGUUAGCAGUGUAAUAUGUCUAGAAACGUCUUGCUUAGCAUUCUCCAGCUCUAGCUAGCUGAAAACAUAGCAGCUAGCUAACGACUAGCUUGUUAAUGCUAAUAAAGUCAUUACAGCAGUAAUUGUUGACGUUACAGCUCCGUAUGGGGCCAUGGCUAAAAAAGGGAUCCAUCUUUUGUCAAAUUAACGUCAAAAGUUGGAAGGUUUUGCAUUUUAACUAACCCUAACCCCUUACCUAAUCUUAACCUAAUUAUCACAACAUGCUACAUUAACAGGUUUUGUUUAGCUCGAUAAUUAGCUAAACUCACGAAAUCAAGGAGUAUGCCUUUAUUCCAUCUGUCGAUAAUUAGUGUACAUUCAAUUCAAAUAGUUCAAUGAUUUAUCUUGCGUUCUUAAUGACGACCAAUAUUACUGGACGCCACAAGCAGAUGUGAAGUCGUCAUUGCUAGUCGGCGACACGUUGUUAUUGUUGGACAGCAAACAUGGCGGAUGAAAGUGUUGCUGGAGCCAGCCUUAUUAAGGUACUUUCGUUACUGCAUUUGGUAAAUAAUGCUGUAGUGAAAUUGCAAUAGAGCAUGCCGAGUCUACUUUCUAGUUGUCAGAAUAAUUUCACUCAAAAUAUACGCCUGAGCAGACAACGGUAUGACGUUGAACGACAGCACAGACGACGACGGUUUUUGCGUUUACGCGCUACAACCACUAUAUGUACUGACGAAAGAAGCAGCAAUCGAGGAUGCAACAUGCUUUCGAGGUGUGUGGGAGCGGGGUCCAAGACCCGGUGAAGAUGUUUGCAGUAUGAUGUUGGAUGAUUUUGACGACGAUCAAAGGCGCAAACAGUUCCGCAUGACUCAGACCACAUUUGAACACCUUGCACAGUUAGUAGAGUCUGGGAACUAAACAAACCACCAAUGUCUGAAACACAAUUGAAUACCGUCGAAGGUUUGCUCUAUUUUUGGUGGUGGUGUGCAACACCAAGCGAGCACCAGAUUAUUUAAAGUUUAUUUGGAGGCGGUGUUUCCACUGUUUGCAUCAUUCUACGACAGGUGACUGCACCUGUCGUGAAGACAAGUACAACCGCUUUAUUUCGCUACCCGGUGGUAAAGACAUCCUAGCCACCAUCUGUGGGUUUAAGCAGCUUGGGUAUCCGCAAUGUGCUGGUGACCAUGGUUGAGACACACAUCCCCAUCACUGCCUCAAAAUAAUAUCCAAAGGACUACUUGAACAGCAAAGGGCAGCAUUAUUCUGUGUUACAGGCCGUUGCUGAUCACAACCUCAGAGUUCAGCGAUUGUCAUUGGUGUAGAGAUGCCAGUUCAUCCGGUAGGAGACCCAGCGUACCCACUGAAGAGGUGGUUAAUGACAGGCUUUUCCCAGGUCACAUCUCUGAAUAACCACCAGCAGAAGUUUAAUGACCACCUGAGUUCUGCCAGGGUGGCUAUUGACUACGUCUUAGGAUGCUUGAAGGGACGUUUGGUGAAGUGCAUCAACAUUGACGUUAAGUUGACGACAGACACUGUAACGCCGUGUUGCAUACUGCACAAUGUGUGCGAACUGAAGAAAGAAUUGUUUCUGGCAUGAAUGAAACAUUGGCCAAGAUCAGUUGUAGAAAGAACAGUUUCUGGCUGAAUGGAACCGGAACAUCAUUGGCCAGGAUCAUCAGCAGACAGAGGCUAAGCUCACAGAUCAAGACCAUAGUUUACUACAAGGGCCAGUGGAGGACAAUGUUGCUACUGUACGGGAUGCAAUUAGGGCCUCUUUACAUGACACCAUCAUAACCGUGCACUGAUGUUUUAGCCUUGUGGUGCAAGUUGUUUGUGAUUAGUGCCAAGUACCGCGGUGCUCAAGUUGUGGCUAUGCAA